rnacentral:rRNA from 1 species
ACGUGAAAGACCUUCGGGUCGAGUAAAGUGGCGCACGGGUGAGUAACGCGUAGAUAAUCUGCCCCGCUGUCUGGGAUAACCUUUCGAAAGGGAGGCUAAUACCGGAUAACACGAUUUCUUUUAAGGGAGUCGUUGAAAGUUGCGGCGCAACGGGAUGAGUCUGCGUCCCAUUAGCUAGUUGGUGGGGUAAAGGCCUACCAAGGCGACGAUGGGUAGCGGGUUUGAGAGGACGAUCCGCCACACUGGAACUGAGACACGGUCCAGACUCCUACGGGAGGCAGCAGUAGGGAAUUUUGCGCAAUGGGCGAAAGCCUGACGCAGCAAUGCCGCGUGAGUGAAGAAGGCCCUCGGGUCGUAAAGCUCUUUAUCUUCGGGAAGAUGAUGACGGUACCGAAGGAAGAAGCACCGGCUAACUACGUGCCAGCAGCCGCGGUAAU